rnacentral:lncRNA from 1 species
UUUUUGUAAAUUUUAGAGAUCAAACACAGGUUAUCAGGCUAUGUGGUGAGUACUUUUACCUACUGAGCCAUUUUAUCAGCCCCUUUUUUGGUGUGGGUUCUUGUUUUGUUUUGUUUUUUGAGACAGGUUCUCACUUUGAGCCCAGACUGGCCUGAAAAUCACUAUGUGGUCUAGGCUGACCUUGAUUUGAGGCAGUAUUCCUGCUUCUGUGGUGCUUACAAUUGUGGAUUUGAACCUCUGUGCCAAACCUUUUGUCUGUUGGCUCCUCUUUUCAACUAGUCCACCUUCUGUUUUCAUAAAUUAUUUUUGUUUUGUUUUUGUGAUGCAUUGAGUUUCUUUAGGGUUGUUUACAAGAACAUGGCUAUCUUUUUUUUUUUUUUUUUUUUUUUUUUUGGUUUUUUGAGACAGGGUUUCUCUGUGUAGCCCUGGCUGUCCUGGAACUCACUCUGUAGACCAGGCUGUCCUGGAACUCAGAAAUCCACCUGCCUCUGUCUCCCAAGUGCUGGGAUUAAAGGCGUGCGCCACCACUACCCAGCUGAACAUGGCUAUCUUACAAAUGUCUAAUCUGAAAAAAGUCCCCAUCUACUAACUGCAUGUAAAUCCUUGGGAAAUUGCCUUAUAAAUGGUAGGACAACAUUCUUCCAUUAAACUGUGUAUACCUAAUCUUUUAAAUACUUUAAAUUCUUUUUUAUGUGCUCAUUGGCCAUUUACAUUUUAUUAGAGAAAUGUCUGUUGAAAUAAUUUGUCAUCUGAAAAUUGAGUUAAUCAGGCUGGAGAAAUGGCUCUGUGGUUAAGAGUAGUGGCUGCUUUUCUACAAGACCCAGGUUCAAUUCCCAAACCCAUAUAACAGCUCAGAGCCAUCUGUAAUUGCAGUUCCAGAGAAUCUGAAGUCCUCUUAUGUCAUCCAUGGAUACUAGGCACAUGAUACACAGGUACAUAUGCAGGCAAAACACCCAUACAAAUAAAAUAAAACUUGGUGAUAUUUAAGGUCUUAGACAUAAUGAGAAGCACCCGAAGGGAAGAAGGAUUUAUUUUGACUCGUAGUCGAGGGUAUAGCCCAGAGAAGGUAUGGCAUGCAUUGCUUACCUCCUACCCCCAGUCAGGGGCACAGGAGGAUGAAUGUUGGUACUUGGCUGGUUUGAUCCUUUUUACGUUUGGUUUGGGGACACUUUUACCCCCUUCCACGGAAUGUUGCCACCUACAUACAGGCUGGUUCUUACCGCGGUUAAACGUGGCAGGACACAUCCUCACAGAUGUAACCAGACGUUAUUCUAAAUCUCAUCAAGUUGACAGCAAGAUUAACCAUUAACAUGUCCUUUCAGGGCCUUGCACGGGUAUUCUUUUACAGAGCUACAUUUCCGUUGUUAAAGACACUAU